rnacentral:lncRNA from 1 species
GACAUGAGCCCGCUUGUUCACUCACUCUCAGUGAAAAGAGUUUUGAAAUGAGUUCUGAAUAGACAGCAUUUUCUUUGUGCGAUUGGUAAAUAACACAGAGCAAAGUUAGCAAGUUGCAGCGCUUCUGCAUUCUGAUUCUAUGGAACCUUUUUGUAGGGAGAAGGGCAGGAUGUUUUUAACAGAAUGUGACCUCACUGGAAUACUAGAGAAAGCAAUAACAUUUCUGAAUGGGGCAGUGUGGAGAAAUCCUAAGAGAAAUAGCAUAAGAGCAUUUUGGAAUAUAUCCCGGAAAAGAUAACUUUCUACACAUCUGUAGACAUUUGCCAGGUUAAGUUGUUCUAUAUCUGAUUGCGAGAAAAUACCAGACGGAGAGAUGGAGUUUGAGGAGUGGCCUUGCCAGUGAGUAUUCGCAGAACCCUACCCCCACAGGCCUGGGUCACAGACUGCCCUUUCUCUACAUGACACUCUUUGUACACAGAAAUGCAUGAAUUCAUUCACUGAUCCAGUCAAUAGAUAUUGAUUGAAUAUUUAUUCCCUAUUGAUUGUAGAUGCUGAGAACCAUACUUAUGUCCUGCUUUAUUGCCAGAUCUGUGACAGGAAAUCAGUUUCUUUUUUUUCAAUAAAUGAGUUUAGGCAUUGGUAUAUCCAUACUUGUCAGGUUCUUCUGGCUGACUUUAGAUGAUAUAGCAUAUGGAAAGAUAUUUCUAACCCUGAGAUUGGGAUUCACCUCUAAUGUUUCGACAAAGAUAGAAAAAAGAAUACAUAAGCAGAGUUAGAAAAAGGUCCCAGAUGCAUUCUUCUCUGUGGAUCAAUGCAACAUCCUUCUACAGUGCUGCAUAUAGAAUACCUGUGUGUACCUAUUAGUAUAAGUUCAGAUCAGUAUUAGAUGUUAUUUUUCCUUUAAAGGACAAUGGAUGGAUGGCAUUACUUGGUGUGGCAACAUUUGAUGUAAAGUGAAAUUUAUAAUGAGAAUAAACACAUGUAAUACAAGAACUGUGACACAGAACGUAAAGACUGCUAACUCUGGGAAACGAACUAGGGGUGGUAGAAGGG